CACCGCCCGUCACAUCAUGAAAGCCGCUUGUACCCGAAGUCCACGUGCCAACCGCAAGGGAGGUAGCGGCCCAAGGUAUGAUUCAUGAUUGGGGUG
rnacentral:rRNA from 1 species